rnacentral:rRNA from 1 species
AUGGUGACCAGGCAGCACCACAGCAAGGGCUCUCUGCCCAAAAGCACAAUGCUACCACCACCAGGGCCACUGCCCCGGCAUCCAAGACCUAGACACCACCUCACACGAUACCCGCCUCCACCCCAACGAAAGAGACAAGCAGAAAGGUCCCACCUUUCACACCCCUGGGCGACCCCCAGCGUCGAGACCCGAUAG